GAUGAACGCUAGCGGCAGGCCUAACACAUGCAAGUCGAGGGGCAGCAUAGAAGUAGUUUACUACUUUUGAUGGCGACCGGCGCACGGGUGCGUAACGCGUAUAUAACCUGCCUCGAACAAGGGGAUAAUUCGGAGAAAUCUGGUCUAAUACCCUAUAACAUCCGGGAGGGCAUCCUUCUGGGUUAAAAGCUCCGGCGGUUCGAGAUGGAUAUGCGUGACAUUAGCUAGUUGGUACGGUAACGGCGUACCAAGGCUACGAUGUCUAGGGGGACUGAGAGGUUAACCCCCCACACUGGUACUGAGACACGGACCAGACUCCUACGGGAGGCAGCAGUGAGGAAUAUUGGUCAAUGGGCGCAAGCCUGAACCAGCCAUGCCGCGUGCAGGAAGACGGCUCUAUGAGUUGUAAACUGCUUUUAUACAGGAAUAAAUGCACUUACGUGUAAGUGUUUGAAUGUACUGUAAGAAUAAGGACCGGCUAACUCCGUGCCAGCAGCCGCAGUA
rnacentral:rRNA from 1 species